AGUCACUGACAUUAGACUACCCCGUAGUCCCAGCCGUAAACUAUGCGCGUUAGGUGUACUGGUGACCACGAGUCGACCGGGGUGCCGAAGGGAACCGUGAAACGUGCCGCCUGGGAAGUACGGUCGCAAGGCUGAAACUUAAAGGAAUUGGCGGGGAGCACCACAACGGGUGGAGCCUGCGGUUUAAUUGGACUCAACGCCGGAAAUCUCACCGGAUAGGACAGACAUAUGAUAGUCGGGCUGAAGACUCUACUUGAUGAUCUG
rnacentral:rRNA from 1 species